rnacentral:rRNA from 1 species
AGUGAACGCUGGCGGCAGGCCUAACACAUGCAAGUCGAGCGGCAGCGCGGGGGCAACCCUGGCGGCGAGCGGCGGACGGGUGAGGAAUUCGUCGGAAUCUGCCUUUUUGUGGGGGAUAACGUAGGGAAACUUACGCUAAUACCGCAUACGUCCUACGGGAGAAAGUGGGGGACCGCAAGGCCUCACGCAGAAAGAUGAGCCGACGACCGAUUAGCUAGUUGGUGGGGUAAAGGCCCACCAAGGCGACGAUCGGUAGCUGGUCUGAGAGGAUGAUCAGCCACACUGGGACUGAGACACGGCCCAGACUCCUACGGGAGGCAGCAGUGGGGAAUAUUGGACAAUGGGCGCAAGCCUGCUCCAGCCAUGCCGCGUGUGUGAAGAAGGCCUUCGGGUUGUAAAGCACUUUUGUCCGGAAAGAAAUCCCUGGAGCUAAUACCUUCGGGGGAUGACGGUACCGGAAGAAUAAGCACCGGCUAACUUCGUG